AUUUGUUUAAAUCUUUUCCUCUCAAAAUCCUAUUCCCUACGGCCUCCCUCUCUCAAAAGCAAAAUAUUCAAGUUCAUUCCCCUUCCCCAAUUUUCUCAAGCAGCUUUAUGAGAAUUUAUAUAAAAUAAAUUGUUUUCUUGCUUGACUCUCUCUCUGUCUCUCUCUUUUUUUUUCUCUCUCAAUAAUUUUUAUUUUGGAUCUGAAUAGUUACUUCUUUUUAGAGUAGUACAUUUUGAUUUCACAGAUGAAUUGAAUUAUGUUUAUUUAUUGCGCAUUUGUUUUUGGCCUAUGUGUUCACAGUGAAAGACUUGAAAUCUAAUUAUAGUGAUUUUCUAUGGUGUUGUAAUAGGAAAUGAGUUUGUUGAAGAAAGAUUUGUAGGAAUGUUACCAUGUCAUAUUUUUCCCUACAAGUGUUUGACUAAAUGCCUGAGAGAACAUCUUAAACUAAAUUGAUGGGAUGUUGUGAAUUCUUUACUGAUUCAAUAAUGUUCAGGAACAAGAAUGGAUUUUUCAAAUUCUCAACUUUUGUGCCACACCAUUUGAAAGGAAUGCUGAAAAUGUCUUCCAUACCUUUGUUGUGAGUAUUUUUAUUUUCUCAUUGUAUAUGUAUGCAUCUCCUUUAGUUUCCAACUAAACAUAUUUAAUUUUCAAAAAGAAGAUCGUCACUUGAAUCUUUCCUUAAAAGCUUUUCGUAUUUCCACGAGACACAUACUUGGAAUGUAAAAUUUUUAUUCUAUCUGCUAUUCAUAGAGCUAGAAGCACCAAUAGUUGGAGAUUGACUUGACAUACAUAUAAUAGAGAAUUGGUUGAUUGCAAUUUUUUUUUCUUUCUAAGGGAACAUACUGCAAGAUUGAUUAUUGAAUGUGAUUAUUCCUUUGUUGUUUGUCGUUGAUUAGCAUUUCUUAUCUUUUAACUAGAUUAAUAUGAUUUGAGGCUCACACAUGAAAUGAAUAACAUUUAAAAAUAUGAAAUUAAUAGGCUUGCUUUUUAAGUACUCUAGUAAUUUAUAAGGCUUCCAUUGUCUGGCAUAUUUCUAAAAUUGUUCUAGUUUCCAAAGAUCACCUUGUUGAGCUUAGUAGGUGCAGCGAAAGGAUGAAGUAGGUAUAUUGUAAGAUGUCAAACAUUCAAUUGGGAAUAAGAUGAAUCUGCAUGAUCCAAGAACUAGAUUCUUAUGGAAAAAUAACGGACGAGGACAUGAAUUAUUAAUUUUUUCACUUGUAAAAGUUUAUUUAUCUAUUUCACUAUUUUAAAUGUAUUUUGUUGAAAUUUAUUAAAUCUCUUCUCUAAUAUAUUGUAUUUUUAGUACAAUUUAAGAUAUUGUGUUAUAAUUCUCUAUAUAUUUCAUUUCAAAAAUAA